rnacentral:rRNA from 1 species
GACGAACGCUGGCGGCGUGCCUAACACAUGCAAGUCGAACGGUGAAGCCUUUCGGGGUGGAUCAGUGGCGAACGGGUGAGUAACACGUGGGCAAUCUGCCCUGCACUCUGGGACAAGCCCUGGAAACGGGGUCUAAUACCGGAUAUGAUCAGAGGGGGCAUCCUCUUGGGUGGAAAGCUCCGGCGGUGCAGGAUGAGCCCGCGGCCUAUCAGCUUGUUGGUGGGGUGAUGGCCUACCAAGGCGACGACGGGUAGGCGGCCUGAGAGGGCGACCGGGCGAAAUGGGACUGAGACACGGCCCAGACUCCUACGGGAGGCAGCAGUGGGGAAUAUUGCACAAUGGGCGCAAGCCUGAUGCAGCGACGCCGCGUGAGGGAUGACGGCCUUCGGGUUGUAAACCUCUUUCAGCAGGGAAGAAGCGUGAGUGACGGUACCUGCAGAAGAAGCACCGGCUAACUACGUGCCAGCAGCCGCCGUAAAAC